rnacentral:tRNA from 1 species
UUGGGGUGUAGCCAAGUGGUAAGGCACCUGCCUUUGGAGCAGGCAUUCCGUAGGUUCGAAUCCUCCCACCCCAGG